rnacentral:rRNA from 1 species
CAAUAGCGUAUAUUUAAGUUGCUGCAGUUAAAAAGCUCGUAGUUGGAUUUCGGGUGGGAAUGGCCGGUCCGCCGUUUCGGUGUGCACUUGCUACGCCCACCUUGCUGCCGGGGACGUGCUCUUGAGUUCACGCUCGGGACACGGAGUCGGCGAGGUUACUUUGAGUAAAUUAGAGUGUUCAAAGCAGGCCUACGCUCUGAAUACAUUAGCAUGGAAUAAUGGAAUAGGACUUUUGUCCAUUUGAUUGGUUAUUGGACUUAGGUAAUGAUUAAAAGGGACAGUUGGGGGCAUUAGUAUUUAAUUGUCAGAGGUGAAAUUCUUGGAUUUAUUAAAGACUAACUUAUGCGAAAGCAUUUGCCAAGGAUGUUUUCAUUAA